rnacentral:lncRNA from 1 species
GUUGGAGAACUUGAUGUCGCACGGGAUGGGUAACAUCUUAAGUGACGGCCGGUUGUUCUCGGUGCCGGCCUGGUAGACGAAGUAGUGGCAGCUCUUAGCGUCGCGGCUGUCGUCCUGACGGAGGAUGGGGAUGCGGAGCAGGACGAGGUCGUCCUUCGAGUAGAUGACCUUGGGCAACCAGUCGAACGCGGAGGGCUUCACGUCGGGGGAAUGGACAGUGAAGCAGGAGACCCGCGGCGGGCUGGCCGCCCAGAAGGUGACCUGGAUUCUCUUGCCGUCCGCCGUGAAGCCAUCGGCGGUAGUGCCGUUGAGGCGACAGCUGAGGUAGCCGUAUCGGUCGAGGAGGAUCGACUCAGGAGGAGGAGAACCCGGAUCCUCGGUGUGGAUAAGCGGAGGGAUCCUGAGGAACGGAUUGACGGACGAGUCGGCCAUGGGAAGAUCUGGUGUGUGGGCGGAGCGGGGAGAGUCGACGCGGAGGUGAGGGGAUCGGAUCUGAGCGGCGGCUUGGCUGCCGAAAGGUACCGAUGAUUUGUGUAGGUAGAUCGUUGGCCGUAGAUGGUCUGGAGCAGGUUGCCUCCCUCCCUCUUUCAAAAAUCCCCUCUGACGUGCUGACCUCACAUUGAGCCUAGUUCUGAGAGCAAUUUUCAUGCCCAGCUUACAGAAAAGAUCCGUAUGCUAAUGCAAUCUCAUGGUUAUCUGGAUGCAUUGACUUGAAUUGGCACUACAUGAUUUCUCUGAUCUCAGUUUAUCUCGCUGAGACACCAAGAGCUGCUGCGCCUGUAAAUUGGUACUUGCCAAGAUCAUUCUAGUCAUCAAUUAAAAAUAGAUAAAUCUAGGCAUAGUUUCUAAUUGUAGUAUGCUCAUGUUUUAUGCCAUUCUAGUAUCUAUCCAAAUAAAAAUUCUUUUAGUUGGCAUAUUAUCCAUAUUGAUUAUUCCACAAUGUAGAUCAGUCCUUUUCGACAAGGUUUAUUUGUUGGAUAAGAGAUACCUAUUCAGAUAACUAGAGAUUUGUUUCCUUCUUUUCUCUUAUAAAUGAUUUGAUGAAUUUUAUACUUUUAAUUGUGAAUAUGACUAGAUGAGUUCAAUUAAAAAUUCAGAUGAGCGAUUUGGUUUUGGUUCAGUGAUGUAAAUUUUCAGAUGUGCAUGCUCCUUACUGCCUGAUAUACAUUCAUCUGAGAGAUGCUGAUAUGAUUUGCCAAUCCGAAUUUGGUGCUAGGUGCAGGUUUUGGUUUGAUCCCUUGAUAUGAGUUAAUAAAUUCAGAUCAGUAUACUUUGUUAAUCAUUCCAGAUGUUCUGAAGCUUUGGACUUAGAAACAUUGCAUACGAAACUACUUUGCCUUGUCAAUAUGCCUCUUUCUAUCCGAAAUGCUUAUGGUAGGCCCGAUUGGCUUCUUUUUUAGUCCCUGACGUUGUGUGAUGCUGUCUCUACAGGGUUGACGGGAUGGCUUCUACUACCAAGGCCCAUGCUUCAUGACUAGCUGGAGUUGACGAGCAGAAGGCCAACAGUGUUACGUGAAUUACGCAACUCCUGCUGGCUCCGACCCAAACAUAGCCUUUUGGAUCAUCUUUUGUGCAGGUGUUGAGCACCAGGACCAUCUAGCUAAACUUCCAUGUGCUGCGAUUAGGUUCCUGCCUGGAUUUGGUUAUAUUACCCAUUUUCACCAUUCUAUUCUUCAACUCCGUUCAUUUUAUUUUAGCUCUUCCAUGAGAUGAGAUGGGUCUUGCAAACGUCUUUCUUAUUGAUAUUAUAUGCAUAUUUUUUUAAAACUGAUUACUAGUUAAAGUUAUGUAGUAAAGGGUGGAUCAAAGUGCCACUUCCAUAGUUGUUACAUGAACUAGUCGUUGGUUAGGUUUCUGAAAUCAUGUCAGUAUCUGCUCUUCUUAAAUUGCAUGUAUUGAAUUUUAGGCAUGCGAUUCUAUAUUGUUAUAUAUAUCUAUGUAGUAGCUGAUAUUACAGAUUUAAGGUUCCUUAUUGUUACAUUUUAAAUGGUCUGCUUAGGUCACCUUGCAGUGAGAUGGCAUCCAGUAAUCUCUGUUGCUUUGUUCAAAUUUGAUGGCACUACUCUUAAUACCGAGUCCCUCAAUAGUGUCAGCAUGAUUGCAUAGCUGGAAUGGUGGCUAAAUUAAACAUUGGGCUCAGUUCAAUUGUCAUUUUAGAGCACCCUCUGCACUGCUCUUGAGCUCCAGGACCAUCUUCUUGCGAAACUUCAAUGACCUUAGGUUAGGUUCCUGCAUGCAGCUUUGAUUUGGUUUUCUAUUGUUGCCAGUCUGUUGUUCUUCAGUUCCCAUUCAUUUUGUUAUGGCUUUUCCAUGAGAUGGAUCCUGCAAACUGCUAUCUGCUUUGCAUAUAAUUGCAAUAUAAGCUAUUUCCAUUCACAUGCGUCAUCAUUUGUGAAUAGAAAAGUAUAUGCCACAAUGCAUAGGUUGUUAGCUCUUGUGUUCCAGCAUAGUAUUAUUUGUGCUCAAGCUAAUUUUGAUGCAAAUAACUGAGGUUUCUAUGGUGCAAUACACCUAGGAAUAUAUAGCAGGGAUUGAGAAAACCUACCAUUCAAAAUUCCAUUCACCUCGUACAUAUGUUUAGCCUAGUCUUUGUGCAGGAUAAGCUCAAGAUCUAAUCACAUAUGAUCAACAUAGUAUUACAGGACAUCUUAUGUUCAUUCGUACUACAAGUGCAACACAAAUCAAGCAUCAUGGAGAGUCUUCCAUUAAGUUAUAUAAAAAGAACAGUCAGUAGAUGGAUAGGAGAAAAGCUUCUAGCCCCAAAUGAUUUUAGAACAAACCCUGCUAAACCUAAUGUCUAUUGCCUAUUAUCCUGCCACUAGUAGGGAUCUUGAAGCUAAGCAGCAAGAAACCUGCAUAAUCACUAAUUAAGAAUAAUCACAUUCAAACAUAGAAGCUAGAUUGCUAUGCUAUCCUAUCCUCAGUUACCUCCGAUGGCACAAACGCCAUGAACCUUGUCAUAGGAGUGGGAUUAUAGGGGGCUAAAUCCAUCAGCCCUCUUUUCGCCAUCAUAUUCCUGCAUUCACCAUGAGUGAUGGAACCAAAUUGUGCAUUAACCUGCCAUGUCAAAGAAUGCAUGAUAACCUCAAGGUCAAUGUAGAUUGAUAUGAUUUUUUUUCAUUACAAGAAAGGGACUGGUUAUCUGCACAUCUCAAGAAAGAACAGACACACAUCAAUCCAUUUUUCCAUCCAUUUUUCGAGGAUGCAUAUGUACCAUAGGAGCACGAACAUAAUACAGUAACAGAUAAAUAGGUACAGAACCUCAAGAGUAAACUGCAAUUCAGGAAUCAUGGCACAUAUCAGAUUAUUAAGACAUGUUAUAGUCCGACCUCAAGUUCUAGCCUAAAUCAUGUAAAUCUUCUAGAAAGAGAAUGUCCCCACUACACUUGCCGAGUAUAAUUUAACAAGCAAAAUGGAAGAAAAGAAAAGCAUCCCCAUUGCAUUUUUGAGAUAAUGACCUCACAAAUGUUCCCUCUUUGUGACUUCCAUUCACAGUUAGAGAGAAAAUAAUUUCAGUAAGCAACUUAAAAUAAUGUGAACAUUUUUUCAUGAGGGGGAUAGCACACUGAAAAACGAACACCAUCUCUUGGCUGAUGCACAAGCUUGAAACGUGAUUCUAGAUGUGUCUUUGCAGGUGUACAAUUCUCAAAAUAUAUUAAGUUAUGAUCACAACUGUAGAUCAAGAUAAGGCUAUUUUAGCUAGAGGCAUCACCAUCCAUGCAUCUUGAGUUGGCAUAUUCUUAUUAAAAUGUAUGUACAUAUAUUUUUGCUCUUAAAUGCCAACUGCAAUAAUGUUCAUAUAUCAAGCUGGACAGAAACACGGUAGUCGGCGCAGGAUAGAUAGCACAAUGGAAGCAGAGGCGGGCUUCAUUGGCUGUUGGCCCUGCUUAGCAGAGGCGGGGAGGUUUUGGGCUAAAAAGGCUUGAGGAAGAGAAGUGGUGGCCCUAUGCUGGGGUGUUCUGGGCUGGAUUCAAGAUAUUGGAAAAGAGGGAAGGAGAAGGUAUGCUAGGAUAGAGAGGCAUUCGAUCCAUAAAUGGCAUUAUUUCUGACCUAGCUUGUCAGUCAUAAAUAGUCAUGGCUUUUAUGACUCAGCUAAAGGAGGCCCGGCAGCUGCUUGCUACUAUCUACUCAUUGGGCGUCCUAUCAUCGGACACUAGUGGGAGCGUUGAACUGCUCAUUCCCCUUCCCCUGUUCAUCUUUGUCGCAGCUUGAUCCUAAGAUUUGAACUUCAUAUAUAUGUGCGGUUCAAUGGAGAAUUCGUUUGGAGAUACAAGUGAUACAACCUACAUGUGCACUUAUGUUUUCCUUGAACCAUGUACAUUUAACCGUGAAAUGUGUUGAAAUGCCUUUUGGAUCAAACCUUCUUUGACAUUUUGUCAUUUUUUUGCUUGAAUCUCCUUUAUGUGGCAGAAUAGCCCAUUGCCAGCAGGUUUUGGGAGCAUUUUGGAAAAUUUUGCUAGUGCACGAAAAACGAUGCAAAAUGGGUGCAUUUCGGUAACCAAAUGCUCUAUUUCGAGGUAGCGUACUUCCGACGGAUUUUUUUCCCUACGAAUACAUCCAAUCUACCCCAUUAAACCCUAGAUGAUGUUUGGGAGCAUUUUAGAGUAUUUCGCUAGUGCACGAAAAAGAUGCGAAACGGGUGCAUUUCGAUACCCAAAUGCACUGUUUCGACUGAUUAUUCGCUAUGAACACAUCCAAUCUACUCCAUUAGACCCUAGAUGAUGUUUGGGAGCAUUGCGCUGCAAAAAAAAGAUGCGAAACGGAUGCGUUUCAGUACCCGAAUGCACUGUUUCGGGAUAUCGAACUUCCGACGGAUUUUUUCGCUACGAACGCAUCCAAUCUACUCCAUUAGACCCUAGAUUAUAUUUGGGAGCAUUUUGGAAUAUUUCGAUAGUGCAGAAAAACGAUGCGAAAUGGGUGCGUUUCGGUACCCGUAUGCACCAUUUGUAGCGAACUUUUGAUGGAUUUUUUUUUGCUACAAACGCAUCCAAUCUACUCCAUUAGACCCUAGAUUAUAUUUGGGAGCAUUUUGGAACAUUUCGAUAGUGCAGAAAAACGAUGCGAAAUGGGUGUGUUUAGUACACGUAUGCUUUGUUUCGGGGUAGCGAACUUUUGAUGGAUUUUUUCGCUACGAACGCAUCCAAACUACUCCAUUAGACCCUAGAUGAUUUUUGGGAGCAUUUUGGAACAUUUCGCUAGUGCACGAAAAAUGAUGCGAAAUGGGUGCGUUUCGGUACCGAAUGCACUGUUUUGGGGUAGCGAACUUCUGACGGAUUUUUUCGCUAGGAACGCAUGCAAUCUACUCCAUUAGACCCUAGAUGAUGUUUGGGAGUAUUUUGGAGCAUUUAGUUAGUGCACGAAAAAUGAUGCAAAACAGUGCAUUUCAGUACAACUAUGGAAAUGUUGCGAAAAAUUGUUAUAAGGAUAUGGAAAUGUUUUGAAAAUGAUAUUUCAAAUAAUAUACUAGUUACAACUAUUAAAUGAGGCACCAUCACAAUGGUCAUGAAAUAAAAUGUAAAAUAUCAAAACUUGGCAUGUCUGUUUGCUUGAAAAUGGAACGAAGGAGUGGCACGCUGGAGGCGUGCCUCAGACUCUAGUAGUAUAAGUUCUGAACUGAGAUGGAAAAAAGGCACGCCGAAUGGGCGUCUCAAGCUCUAGUUGGCAGAAUAGGGCCACAUCAUCACUACAGCCUCAAGCCCUAAAAGGCUCAAAGAAAGAUGCUCACCAACCAGAUAGCAAAAUCAUAAGAGGAGGUUGGUAGCCAUAUAACCAAAGAGACACGGCAACUAGAUAAUGAAAACACGAGUUCCUCAGGGAUGAGGCUAAAGGAGGUCGGCAGCCACAUAGCCAAAGAGGCACUAGGGUAUUUGGUUACUCGUAUCAUUUAAGUUCGUAUAAAGAUAAAUACUGUUCCUUUUAUUUGGUUGGAUUAAAGGUGUAUUUGGUUACAUGCACCACAUGAUUAAAUGCAUGGAUGAUCCUAGAUGGUGGGUUCAACCAAUUUGUUUGCAUCAUAUGGUUCGCUAUUAUUAGUAAAAUAAUGUAUCAAGUGGGAUGGCUUCAUCAUGACCGGGGACCGGGAUGGUACAAUUCAUCUAACCAAACAAAAGAAUCAUUAUUAUUUUGAACCAUUUCAUACAUGAAUCAAAUAAUACAAAUGAUACAAAGCAACAAAACACACCCCGAUUGUACCAACUCAUCCCGGAUGCCCACUUUAGUACAAUUACAGGUGUGAACUCUAUGAUACAAACUAGUUGAAUUACACCAUGCAGAUAUCCAUACAUCAUGCAGAGAGGUCAGCAGCACUCCUAGGACCCUCGGAAGAUGCUUAGAUAUUGUUGACAAUGGCCAUUCAUCCAUAAAUAAGUAAUGAAAUAUGUGUUUAAAAAAAUGCAUUCAUCCAUAAAUAACAGCCCUCACACGGCUAGCAUGCCACAUAGUCCUCGAUGACUAACAAAUAUAGUCCGCAAACAUAGCUGACACGAUGCAAGCUAAUGUAAUACAGGUCCAUCAAUAAUGCAACACCUCAUAGACAUCACACCACGGGUGAGGUGUGAAGGGCUUUGUUUCAACUUGCACACCAAUUUAGUGAUCACCAUGCUAAGUAGUACCCUUUGUGCUUUGCUUCCAAGUUUAGACUUAGGUUGCGGUUGGCUGCGGUUCAGCGUUCACCUCUAGAACUUCUAGCUUGCAUGGCCCCAGACAUCCAUCCCUACUUGUUUCACCAGCAUUCCUCCCAGAUCUGUUUCAUGUACAAGAGUGCAUCUUAGUUAAAAAAUCCCUUGGUUUGAAAACAAUAAUUAUAGAUGAUAAGAAAAAGCAAGAAUUCUAUAGUAAACAUGUCUAUGUACUAACAGAAACCUAAACAGCAAAAGCAAAGAUUACAUAGCAAGCAUGUUCAUGUACCAAAAGAAAAUAUUGCUUCAUUGGUGCAAAUUUUUGCAUCAUUUUGGCAAUAAUGACCAAGAAAUUCUGUUCAGUAAGGGUGAGGCACACCAUAUGGCCUGCAACAUGCAACGUGUGCUUGAAUUAUGGAAAUGAGACAAUUGCGCACUGGUGUGUUAACAUUUUCCCCUCAAAGAAGUUAACUAUAAAGAUUAUUUGGCUCCUUAGAUGGUAUGAAAAAUCACAAGGUUAGGCAACUAGUAAUACAGAUAGUGCUUACUGUGUUCAAUUCAAGUCAUAUUGGUUCUGAUAAAAAUUAAUAAAUCUUAAGAGAAAAGGAAAAAUAUGUAGCAGGCAGGGGUGGAGCUGCACGGGGUGCUGGGGGUGCUGCAGCACCCCCUCAGGUCAUGCUAGUCCAUUUAAUAUUAACUGUUUUAUCUUAAAACUUUGAACAUAAAACAUGAACUUAGUUCAAUUAUAGAGUCUCAGCACCCCCUUUGAGCUGAUUCUGGCUCCACCCCUGGUAGCAGGCAUGUGCACAUUCCAGAAGCAAGCAUUGUUUUAGUGUUGCACAUUUAGCACCAUUUUAACCAUGACCAAUAAGGGCGAGUUACACAAUAUGGCAUGCAAGGUGGAACACAUGAAAGAUGAAUCCUGGCUAUGAGAUAGGAUAAUAGAUAUUUGGUAGCCAUGAACAAACUGCUAAACCAUAUGAUCUUUCAGGCACAGCACACUAUAAGCAGAAACUUCUGGGAGAAGGGUUUUACUAGACAUGAUAGGGAACAAUGCAGUACAGUUGAGACAGACUUCUUUAAAUGUUGAAAUGAAGCGAUCCCUUAUACUUCAUCAAAAAGAAGCUCCAGAAUGUAGAUGUAGUGGCGGGGGAGGUAUAAGUGCUAAUUUUGCGGAUGGAAAUGUAAAAGAUAGUACGAUUUAUCAAUGCAGGUACAAUAUUAACAAUCGAGAGACAAAUAGUUAAUUGAAUAACAAUAAACCAGACAGAUCUAAAGAACACUAGGACUAGGAGCACUGCUAUGAAUAAAUAAUGACUAAUAAUGAAGACCGGAAGCAAAAUGAGCGUUAUUACACAGUAUACCAUGAUGUUAGUAGUAUAACAUAAUUAAAACAAAUGCUCCUGCCAGAUAACAAAUGGAUACCGCAGCUUCAGAAUGAAAGAACCUACUCGUGCUGCUGGUACAUUUUAGUUUUAGUUUAUAUGUACUAUGUUGGUCCAAAACAGAGAAUGCAAAAAAAAAUUACCUGGAGGAGGACCAAAUGUUCAGAUGCUUGGAGAUCCCACUUUUAAGGUAGGUGAAAGUGUAACCCAGAGGCCUUCCAGAGCCAAAAUCAGCCACAUCUUUUAGAGUCUUUUUUCUCAUAUCAAGUGCAAUCACCAAUGCCUUGUCCUCAUCGGGAUCAGGUGUGUGCAUGAUGUAAACAACAUCAGCGUCAUGCAAGCUCAGAGCAGGGUAACCCGCACAAAGUCUCAUCAAGGUUAGCUUUGUAUUUUUAACCUGUUUCAGAUUAGGCAGCAUCAGCAUUCGAGCAAACUUGGGGCUGUCCACUGGGAUGUCAGAAAAUUUGAAAGUGCAGUCCUCUUCCCAGUUGUUCCCAGAACCAAUAUCUGAAAUUUUCAUUUUCUUUGUUGCAGCCACCAAAUCUUGAGUUGCAGACGUGAGUCCAGAGCCUGGUCUGACGUCGUAGCUCAUCUCGAAAUACUUGAUGCAAUCUCCAACCACAACAAUGUCCCGGAAAUACAUCGGAUAACCCUUGAGCAGCUUGGGCACCAGUGGCAAUGGUAAUGGAAUAUAGCGAAGACUGUGGUUGUCCCGGAGAAGGUCACAGAUAAGCAUGCCCCGCCAGAGAUCGACCCAGCCCACUGAACCGAACUCACCUCCGAUGGUGACCGCAAUGUUUGGAUAUGAAUAAUUCAAAUAAUUCACUGAAUCAACAAACUGAUUCUCAGUGUUCCAUGUACCUGUCUUGGAGUUGUACAGGUGGAGAUCAAAUCGCUUGCCGUUGUUCUUAGGAUCGAUGAUCCUAUGAAGCAGGGCGAAGUAGAACAUAUCUUGGUCGCGGCAACGCAACAGCACAAGCUCGUCGUAGGAGAACGUGAAGUCGCACGGGAUGGGUAACAUCGUAAGUGACGGCCGGUUGUUCUCGGUGCCGGCCUGGUAGACGAAGUAGUGGCAGCUCUCAGCGUCGAGGCUGUCGUCCUGACGGAGGAUGGGGAUGCGGAGCAGGACGAGGUCGUCCUUCGAGUAGAUGACCGUGGGCAACCAGUCGAACGCGGAGGGCUUCACGUCGGGGCAAUGGACAGUGAAGCAGGAGACCCGCGGCGGGCUGGCCGCCCAGAAGGUGACCUGGAUUCUCUUGCCGUCCGCCGUGAAGCCAUCGGCGGUAGUGCCGUUGAGGCGACAGCUGAGGUAGCCGUAUCGGUCGAGGAGGAUCGACUCAGGAGGAGGAGAACCCGGAUCCUCGGUGUGGAUAAGCGGAGGG